rfam:Gossypium raimondii Chr10_contig_1020, whole genome shotgun sequence.
AGUCUAUGGUGUGGGCACUUCUUUAGCAUUAACUUGAAAUGCUCUCAUGCCUCAUAUAUAUACUCACCUUCGUAUUUUUGAAAUUUGUGAUUUCUCGCCUUAACU